AGCCAUGCCGCGUGUGUGAGAAUGCCUUCUGGUUGUAAAGCACUUUCAGUUGUGAGGAAAAGUUAGUAGUUAAUACCUGCUAGCCGUGACGUUAACAACAGAAGAAGCACCGGCUAACUCCGUGCCAGCAGCCGCGGUAAUACGGAGGGUGCGAGCGUUAAUCGGAAUUACUGGGCGUAAAGCGCACGCAGGCGGUUUGUUAAGCUAGAUGUGAAAGCCCCGGGCUCAACCUGGGAUGGUCAUUUAGAACUGGCAGACUAGAGUCUUGGAGAGGGGAGUGGAAUUCCAGGUGUAGCGGUGAAAUGCGUAGAUAUCUGGAGGAACAUCAGUGGCGAAGGCGACUCCCUGGCCAAAGACUGACGCUCAUGUGCGAAAGUGUGGGUAGCGAACAGGAUUAGAUACCCUGGUAGUCCACACCGUAAACGCUGUCUACUAGCUGUGUGUGCCUUUAAGGCGUGCGUAGCGAAGCUAACGCGAUAAGUAGACCGCCUGGGGAGUACGGCCGCAAGGUUAAAACUCAAAUGAAUUGACGGGGGCCCGCACAAGCGGUGGAGCAUGUGGUUUAAUUCGAUGCAACGCGAAGAACCUUACCUACACUUGACAUGCUGAGAAGUUACUAGAGAUAGUUUCGUGCCUUCGGGAACUCAGACACAGGUGCUGCAUGGCUGUCGUCAGCUCGUGUCGUGAGAUGUUGGGUUAAGUCCCGCAACGAGCGCAACCCUUGUCCUUAGUUGCCAGCAUUCAGUUGGG
rnacentral:rRNA from 1 species